ensembl:lncRNA
GGAGGGAGGGGGUGGAGGGGGAGCACAAUAAUACAAUUCUGUUUAGGGCACCCAUUUGGCCAGUAGCGGACCUGAUUCUGCCUUAACAUUACACUUGUCACAAACGGAUGGAAAAAUUCUGGAAACAGACGUCUCAAACAGGUUUGAUGAAGUUUUACAUCCUGUAUCAGGAAAGAAGCUCCUUCCCCAACUGCCGCACCGGCACGAAGCGGACAGCCUCGUGCCAAACACACCAGCAGCCGGAAGGACCCUCACGGCGGGGCGGGACCGCUGACGCAACGCCGGCCGGCGAUUGGGGAGUCAGGCGGGAAAAGGCGACAGAGGAGGAGGAUAAAAGGGCGCGCUUCCGGCUAUACGGUGCGAGCGCGGACGAGACCACGCUCCGGUGGAUGACGGCACGGGAGACUCACGUCGUCGCCUCGGGAACCCCGACACGCCCUCAAGAAGGAGACAGAUCUGGACUGCUGGCAGGCCGGUCAAGCACACGCACUCCGUAUCUACGAAGCCAUGCUGUUGUAGCACAUGCAGAAUGAGGCCUGGCAUUGUCCUGAUAAAGUAACCAUGGACUUCCCGGGAAAAGACGUUGCCUUGAUGGCAGCAUGUGUCUCUCUUAAACCCCUCAUAUAUACGCCUCAGCGUCAAUGAGAACUCGACAUCCGUUUUUCCCGAAAACAAGCUGAAACAUGGACUCAUCUGACCACAGCACGCCUUUCCACUGCCUUUCAGUCCAUCUGAAAUGAGCUCAGGCCCAGAGAACUCGGCGGCGUUUCUGCAUAGAGUUGAUGUAUGGCUUCCUCCUUGUGUAAAAGAGUUUCAGGUUGCAUUUCUGGAUGCAGCAGCUGACUGCGUUAAGUGACAACGGUUUUCCGAAGUACUCCCGAACCCAUGUGGUUAUAUUUAUCACAGU